GAUGAAGAACGCAGCGAAAUGCGAUAAGUAAUGUGAAUUGCAGAAUUCAGUGAAUCAUCGAAUCUUUGAACGCACAUUGCGCCCGCCAGUAUUCUGGCGGGCAUGCCUGUUCGAGCGUCAUUACAACCCUCAGGCCCCGGGCCUGGCGUUGGGGAUCGGCAGAAGCCCCCUGUGGGCACACGCCGUCCCUCAAAUACAGUGGCGGUCCCGCCGCAGCUUCCAUUGCGUAGUAGCUAACACCUCGCAACUGGAGAGCGGCGCGGCCAUGCCGUAAAACACCCAACUUCUGAAUGUUGACCUCGAAUCAGGUAGGAAUACCCGCUGAACUUAAGCAUAUCAAUAAGCGGAGGA
rnacentral:misc_RNA from 1 species